AAAGAGUUUGAAACAACACUCCUGAGAGCCUGGGGACAGGAGCGAUGCUGUGCCACCAUGAAAUCUGACAUUUUGCUAAGGAGCUGAAAUUUUGGAUAAUCACCUCCAAGGCAAAGAAUGAGUAACAGUGCAAACCAUGAAAUUAUUGACAUGAAACUAAAGUGAGUCCAUUCCUUUAACAAGGAUGUUGAAUAGGAAAAGAAUUUAGCCAAGUACAG